AGGAUUCCAGAGGUGGGUGGCAGCCC
rnacentral:piRNA from 1 species